GCUUACGGCCAUACCAGCCCAAGAACGCCCGGACUUGUCUGAUCUCGGAAGCUAAGAAGGCUUGGGCCUGGUUAGUACUUGGAUGGGAGACCUCCUGGGAAUACCAGGUUCUGUAAUCU
ensembl:rRNA 5S_rRNA 5S ribosomal RNA